ACAUAAAUGGGUUUGCUUUCUUUUUCCUUUGUAUAAACGUGUGGUGACGCCAAGUACAAUUUUUCGUAUAUAAGUAUAUGUGAUAUAUGUAUAUAUCAAACAUAUGUAAGCAUAAAUACAUAAAAUAUAAGUGUAAAAUAUAAAAAGUAUAAAAUUGUAGAGAUUUACGUGUAGAGGAUGGUUGUUACGUGAAGAUUAAAGGACAAGAUUGCUCGAUGUUGGAACCGUCGAAUAUAUUUAGAAUAAUAAAUUAAUGUACAACCUGUAUACGUGAGUCGUUAGUACAAAGUAUAAAUCGCAAAAUAAAAUCGCGGAUAAACACUCGUUAAUGCUCGUCGCGCAACUCGGUAGACACUGUUAGAUACUCGGUCUGCUUGCGAUCGUGACCGUUUAUUUAUACUGGUCGGGGGGAAGUCGGAAAAUAUGAAUUCGUCUUCAUUCGACGGUUGUAUGUAGCGGCGACAUUCUUUUGCCCGAAGUCUAUUUGUUCUUACAUUACUUGUAUCCUAACGAUCUUGAUACUCCAAGGCAAGACAACAACAUGAUCUGAAUUGUCCUUUGACUCAUGUGCCGCUACAAAACUAUAAGUAAACAUAAGUGGAAUAUAAAUAAUUUAGACAUCUAACACGCCUUGAGAAGCCUUAGAUAAGUUUGAAAAUUGAUAUGGAUCAAGCAAGAUAAGAUAAUCUAUAGAUUAAACCAUUAUGUUUGAAUUGACAUAUAUAUGGUGAAAGUGUGAACUUACAAGGGUGCCUGGUUCUUCUCUCAGGAGCAUAGAUGUUAAUGCUCUUAAGAAUUUUAAGACAGUGGAUCUGUUUAUUGAAUAUCAUGAUUGUAAAUUAGAUCUGACUUUUGACAUUGACCUCCCGUCGUGCAUACGCAUGUCUCGCACCAGGAGCAUCGAAUGAAGAAAUGUUGGGCCAUUUGAACGCUAGAGGCGGUGUUUUGUGAGGAAUACUUUUGGCUGAAUUUAUAUCAUACUCACAAUUCAUCCAGGUCUGUUCCAGCUGUAAGGUCAUCAGAAUUUAUUUGUCUCCAAUAGUUGUUUGUUUUUUCAACAAUGAAUUCUACCAGUUCUUCAGAUACAAACAACUGGAAGUAUUGCAGAAAUCCCCAGGAUCUUAUAUUUGUUUGAAUACCCGAUUGCUGUUUUGUAAAAUCAUGAAUUAUUAGCCUAAAUUUUUUCGAAGUCCAUGUAAUAUCUGACUGGUUGGUAUUUCGUACGUUAACGUUAUCAGUUUCUUGAGAUUCUGAUGUACUAAGUACAUUUAAUAGUCGUUUUCUUUGAUUUGCUGUAUUUAUAUGUGAUUCAUUUUCAUCACAACUUUCCGAAGCAGUCUAGUUCACCAGUUGCCGUUUUUUUAGAUUUUUAUACUUCAUUUUAAAGAGUACCGAAACCUACAUCACUUAUUAAUAUUUGAAACGGAUAGGAGGAAUUAAAGAUCCUCUGGACGUAACAACUUAAUAACCUGGUUUACUUAUUUUUCUGAACUUCUUCUUAUGCGCUAGUUUAACAUAAUUAAGAUGUCAAUUCGCGUGUCCUUACUGUCACUGGCCAAUACGACGCGUUUAGUGAAUGCGGGCUAUAUCCGGCGUAAGUCGAUGUGAAGUAUUUUGUGAAUGCCGGAUAUAAUCGGCGCUAGGCGUGAAAGAGUUAAAAAUGAAAAAUUUUAAAAUGUUACGUGGAA